AACGCGAAGAACCUUACCUACCCUUGACAUCCCACGAAUCCUGCAGAGAUGCGGGAGUGCCGAAAGGAACGUGGAGACAGGUGCUGCAUGGCUGUCGUCAGCUCGUGUCGUGAGAUGUUGGGUUAAGUCCCGCAACGAGCGCAACCCUUAUCCCUAGUUGCCAUCGGGUCAAGCCGGGCACUCUAGUGAAACCGCCCCGGAUAACGGGGAGGAAGGUGGGGAUGACGUCAAGUCCUCAUGGCCUUUAUGUCCAGGGCUACACACGUGCUACAAUGGUCGGUACAAACCGUCGCAAACCCGCGAGGGGGAGCUAAUCGGAAAAAGCCGACCUCAGUUCGGAUUGGAGUCUGCAACUCGACUCCAUGAAGCUGGAAUCGCUAGUAAUCGCGGAUCAGAACGCCGCGGUGAAUACGUUCCCGGGCCUUGUACACACCGUAGAGAC
rnacentral:rRNA from 1 species